rnacentral:rRNA from 1 species
GACGAACGCUGGCGGCGUGCUUAACACAUGCAAGUCGAACGAAGAGCGAUGGAAGCUUGCUUCUAUCAAUCUUAGUGGCGAACGGGUGAGUAACGCGUAAUCAACCUGCCCUUCAGAGGGGGACAACAGUUGGAAACGACUGCUAAUACCGCAUACGAUCUAAUCUCGGCAUCGAGGAUAGAUGAAAGGUGGCCUCUACAUGUAAGCUAUCACUGAAGGAGGGGAUUGCGUCUGAUUAGCUAGUUGGAGGGGUAACGGCCCACCAAGGCGAUGAUCAGUAGCAGGUCUGAGAGGAUGAACGGGCACAUUGGGACUGAGACACGGCCCAGACUCCUACGGGAGGCAGCAGUGGGGAAUCUUCCGCAAUGGACGGAAGUCUGACGGAGCAACGCCGCGUGAGUGAUGACGGCCUUCGGGUUGUAAAGCUCUGUUAAUCGGGACGAAAGGCCUUCUUGCGAAUAGUGAGAAGGAUUGACGGUACCGGAAUAGAAAGCCACGGCUAACUACGUG